CAGGCGUUUCCGGGCUUCGUUGCUCGCCUUCCUUUUCCGAAAGAAGAGCGGCAUCUUGACUCCUGUCUCCAUUUAUCCCAGUUCAGCAGGAUGGCGAUUGGAAUCUGAAUAGCAGGAAGAUCAAGAAUCCAUCCCAGUUGCUGCUGGGCACAAAUCCCCAUCAGCCCCAGCCUCCAAGCAGAAUGAUCAGGGAAGGUGAGGUGUAGGACAAAAACUCUGGAAGGUAAGCGGAGGAGAAGACUGGCUGAUUGCCAACGGAAAUGAAGAUGAGUCAUUAAGACAGGGAUAUCCUCUGGAAGAUGCCAAGUACGAGUUCUCUCGUCGGAGCCCUGAUGAAGUUACUCCGCUGGGUAAUGAAAAGUCUUCAAGAAAACCAGAAUGGACCCAGAGUCCUUCUCCUCUUCCUUCUCCCCUCCCCUCUAGCACUGAUGAUGCUACUUAGUUGGGUAAUGAAAUGUCUGUAAGAAAACCACCAAGGAUCCCACCACCCUCCUCCUUCAUUUAGGAAGCUUCACUCCUUCUAGGUAGCACUGAUGAUUCGACCUAGUUUGGGUCAUAAAACACGUGCAAGAAAACCAAGCUUGGAGACCACCAAAGACCCCACCAUUCUCUCAUUAAAUUAUCCUCGUGCUUAAGACCUUCUUCGUACCAUUAGUAGCACAUGAUUUAGAGACAGUCAUGGUUCAUCAACAAAGUAAUAUGGGUGGCCAGGCCCAAUCCAGAAAAA